AGUGAACGCUGGCGGCAGGCCUAACACAUGCAAGUCGAACGGCAGCACAAGAGAGCUUGCUCUCUGGGUGGCGAGUGGCGGACGGGUGAGGAAUGCAUCUGAAUCUCCUCAUUUGUGGGGGAUAACUCCGGGAAACCGAGCUUAAUACCGCAUACGACCUACGGGUGAAAGCUCGGGAUCUUCGGACCUUCCUCAUAUGGCUGAGCCGAGGCUGGAUUAGCUAGUAGGUGGGGUAAAGGCCCACCAAGGCCACGAUCCAUAGCUGGUCUGAGAGGAUGAUCAGCCACACUGGAACUGAGACACGGCCCAGACUCCUACGGGAGGCAGCAGUGGGGAAUAUUGGGCAAUGGGCGCAAGCCUGAUCGAGCCAUGCCGCGUGUGUGAAGAAGGCCUUCGGGUUGUAAAGCACUUUUAUUAGGAAAGAAAAGCAGCCGGUUAAUACCCGGUUGUCAUGACGGUACCCAAACAAUAAGCACCGGCUAACUUCGUG
rnacentral:rRNA from 1 species